rnacentral:rRNA from 1 species
UACGUAGGGUGCGAGCGUUAAUCGGAAUUACUGGGCGUAAAGCGUGCGCAGGCGGUUCGUUGUGUCUGAUGUGAAAGCCCCGGGCUCAACCUGGGAAUGGCAUUGGAAACUGGCGAGCUAGAGUGUGGCAGAGGGGGGUGGAAUUCCGCGUGUAGCAGUGAAAUGCGCAGAUAUCAGGAGGAACACCGGUGGCGAAGGCGGCUUUCUGGGCCUUACCUGACGCUGAGGAGCGAAAGCUGGGGGAGCGAACAGG